UACGUAGGGUGCAAGCGUUGUCCGGAAUUAUUGGGCGUAAAGAGCUCGUAGGCGGUCUGUCGCGUCUGCUGUGAAAACUCGGGGCUUAACCCCGGGCCUGCAGUGGGUACGGGCAGACUAGAGUGCGGUAGGGGAGACUGGAAUUCCUGGUGUAGCGGUGAAAUGCGUAGAUAUCUGGAGGAAUACCGGUGGCGAAGGCGGCAUCCUGGACCGACAUUGACGCUGAUGAGCGAAAGCUAGGGGAGCAAACGGG
rnacentral:rRNA from 1 species